rnacentral:rRNA from 1 species
AGAGAUGUGUGAUGACGCAUAUCAAUAAGCGGAGGAAAAGAAACUAACUAGGAUUCCCUCAGUAACGGCGAGUGAAGCGGGAAGAGCUCAAAUUUGAAAUCUUCAAGGUUUUACCUUGACGAAUUGUAGUUUAAAGAAGUGUUUUCUGUUGGAUGUUUUGGUAAAAGUUCUUUGGAAUAGGACAUCAUAGAGGGUGAGAAUCCCGUAUUUGACCAUUACUUUCCAGCGUUGUGAUACACUUUCAAAGAGUCGGAUUGUUUGGGAAUGCAGUCCAAAAUGGGUGGUAAAUUUCAUCUAAAGCUAAAUAUUGGCGAGAGACCGAUAGCGAACAAGUACCGUGAGGGAAAGAUGAAAAGAACUUUGAAAAGAGAGUUAAACAGUACGUGAAAUUGUCAAAAGGGAAGCGUUUGACACCAGUGUUGUUUUUCCGAAAAUCAAUUAAGUAUGUUUUAUUUUUGAGGAGUUAUGACUUCAUCGGCUUGCUCCUUUCUUUAUGAAACUUUCUUAAUGCACUUUUCGGUUAACAAGUCAACAUCAAUUUCUUUUGUUGUAAAAGAGUAUGAGGAAGGUGGCUUUCUUUUCGGAGAAAGUGUUUAUAGCCUUGUACUCCUGCAAUCGGAGAGAUUGAGGUCUGCAGCGUAGAUCCUUCGGGGUUAGAUAGCAUUUGUGCUAAGUUAUAGCCUUGUAUAGACAACUUGUUGACUAUGCUCAGUCAUGUAGCUUACUCGCUUAUGCUAUUUUACCUACGCUUAGGAUGUUGAGUCGUAGAGCACGCAG